UUUUUUUUUUUUUUUUUUUGCAAAGACGAUUUUUAUUCUAUGCUGCAGUAUUUGUACCAUUAGAAAUUUGGUGGCUGUGUACAAAUUUUGUGUGUGCCAUAGCAACUACUACUUUCAGUUGGAAUUUAUCGUACCCACAUUGCAAUUAUUGUUGCAGAGGUGAUGCGUCUUUUUAAAUAUUCUAAAUAAAAUGUUGUCUGAAAUGGUAAGUAGUUAGAUUGGG
rnacentral:misc_RNA from 1 species